rnacentral:rRNA from 1 species
UAGGUGAACCUGCGGAAGGAUCAUUACCGAGUUAGGGUCUUAUAGGCCCGAUCUCCAACCCUUUGUUUACUACACCAUGUUGCUUUGGCGGGCCCGCCUUUUGGGGCCGCCGGGGGUUUACAAGCCCCUGGUCAGUGUCCGCCAGUAGCCUUAUCAAAUUCUUUUAUAAUUAUGUUGUCUGAGUAUAAAUAUAAAUCGUUAAAACUUUCAACAACGGAUCUCUUGGUUCUGGCAUCGAUGAAGAACGCAGCGAAAUGCGAUAAGUAAUGCGAAUUGCAGAAUUCAGUGAGUCAUCGAAUCUUUGAACGCAUAUUGCGCCCUUUGGUAUACCGAAGGGCAUGCCUGUUCGAGCGUCAUUAUCAACCAUCAAGCCUGGCCUGUCGUGGGACCUCUAUAUCGCUGAAGAUGUGUAGGUCGAAAGAUAUGACGGCGUCGUGUUGACCCUAGAUGCCACGAGCGUUUUAUAGCACGCAUUGAAGGUGGUCGGCCGACCCGGGUCUUGACCCAUCAUUUAUUCUAGCGGUGACCCCGGAACAGGGA